rnacentral:lncRNA from 1 species
AAAAACCAUGUGUAAUCGUAUUCUUCUUUUUUAUAUAUAAAAAACAAUUAUUAUUUGUUUAUUAAAGAAAAUAUACUCAUCUAGAAUUUCUAAUCUAUACUUAAUAAUAAAAAUAAAAUUUCUAAUUAUUUAAUUAGCAUAUUUGAACGGCGAAAUUUAAUGACCGAUCAUAAAUAUAAGUCGAAUAUAAAUUCACUCAAAAAAUA